rnacentral:rRNA from 1 species
GAUGAACGCUGGCGGCGUGCCUAAUACAUGCAAGUCGAGCGAACAGAUAAGGAGCUUGCUCCUUUGAUGUUAGCGGCGGACGGGUGAGUAACACGUGGGUAACCUACCUAUAAGACUGGGAUAACUUCGGGAAACCGGAGCUAAUACCGGAUAAUAUUUUGAACCGCAUGGUUCGAUAGUGAAAGAUGGUCUUGCUAUCACUUAUAGAUGGACCCGCGCCGCAUUAGCUAGUUGGUAAGGUAACGGCUUACCAAGGCAACGAUACGUAGCCGACCUGAGAGGGUGAUCGGCCACACUGGAACUGAGACACGGUCCAGACUCCUACGGGAGGCAGCAGUAGGGAAUCUUCCGCAAUGGGCGAAAGCCUGACGGAGCAACGCCGCGUGAGUGAUGAAGGUCUUCGGAUCGUAAAACUCUGUUAUUAGGGAAGAACAUAUGUGUAAGUAACUGUGCACAUCUUGACGGUACCUAAUCAGAAAGCCACGGCUAACUACGUG